rnacentral:rRNA from 1 species
AUGGUGUGUUCUGACCUGGAAAAAAUCAGAGAGAAGCUUUCGGGAGGAAGCGCCGCCGUCUCGAGGUGGAACCUGGGCAGAACCAAUCUAGGGCUCCGGCGGAGUUUUUCUGCCGGGGAAACAUCCCUCCAGGUGGGGCAAAUCAUCGCCAUCGUCAUCACCAUCGAUCCUCUCAUAGAUAGGGGGUCAAUGUCCAUCAACAUCUUCACCAGCACCAUAUCCUCUCAAACCCUAGUUUAUCUCUUGUAUUCGAUCUUGUUCCCAAAACCCCAGAUUGGUACCUUUGGGUUGCUAGUAGUGUUGAUUACUCCUUGUAGUUGA